CGUUUGUGGGUAUGUGUGUGGGCAUAUGUCUGUGAGUGCUUACACACACACACACACACACACACACACACACACACACACACACACACACGCAU
rnacentral:miRNA from 1 species